rnacentral:tRNA from 1 species
GGGGGUAUAGCUCAGUUGGUAGAGUGCUUGUGUAACAUGCAUAAGGAUCUGGGUUCAAUACCUAGCACUGUCA